CUCACCGCCCGUCACAUCACUUGAAUCUGUUGCUCCCGAAGUCGCUGGCCGAACCCGUGGAGGGACGGAGGCGCCGAAGGAGUGGCCGGUGAGAGGGGUG
rnacentral:rRNA from 1 species